GAUGAACGCUGGCGGCGUGCCUAAUACAUGCAAGUCGAGCGAACGGACGAGAAGCUUGCUUUUCUGAUGUUAGCGGCGGACGGGUGAGUAACACGUGGAUAACCUACCUAUAAGACUGGGAUAACUUCGGGAAACCGGAGCGAAUACCGGAUAAUAUUUUGAACCGCAUGGUUCAAAAGUGAAAGACGGUCUUGCUGUCACUUAUAGAUGGAUCCGCGCUGCAUUAGCUAGUUGGUAAGGUAACGGCUUACCAAGGCAACGAUGCAUAGCCGACCUGAGAGGGUGAUCGGCCACCCUGGAGCUGAGACACGGUCCAGACUCCUACGGGAGGCAGCAGUAGGGAAUCUUCCGCAAUGGGCGAAAGCCUGACGGAGCCACGCCGCGUGAGUGAUGAAGGUCUUCGGCUCGUAAAACUCUGUUAUUAGGGAAGAACAUAUGUGUAAGUAACUGUGCACAUCUUGACGGUACCUAAUCAGAAAGCCCCGGCUAACUCCGU
rnacentral:rRNA from 1 species